GACCGCGUAGCUCAGUUGGCAGAGCAUUGUGCUAGCAUUCCAAAGGUCGUAGGUUUGAUUCCCACCGUGGUCA
rnacentral:tRNA from 1 species